rnacentral:rRNA from 1 species
UACGGAGGGGGGCUAGCGUUGUUCGGAAUUACUGGGCGUAAAGCGCACGUAGGCGGACUGUUAAGUCGGGGGUGAAAUCCUGGGGCUCAACCUCAGAAUUGCCUCCGAUACUGGCAGUCUCGAGUGCGGGAGAGGUGAGUGGAAUUCCCAGUGAUAGAGGUGUAAAUUCGGUAGAUAUUGGGAAGAACACCAGUGGCGAAAGGCGGC